AAAGAAACCAACAGGGAUUGCCCCAGUAACGGCGAGUGAAGCGGCAAGAGCUCAAAUUUGAAAGCUGACUCCUUCGGGGUCCGCAUUGUAAUUUGCAGAGGAUGCUUCGGGAGCGGUCCCCAUCUAAGUGCCCUGGAACGGGACGUCAUAGAGGGUGAGAAUCCCGUAUGGGAUGGGGUGUCCGCGCCCGUGUGAAGCUCCUUCGACGAGUCGAGUUGUUUGGGAAUGCAGCUCUAAAUGGGUGGUAAAUUUCAUCUAAAGCUAAAUAUUGGCCGGAGACCGAUAGCGCACAACUAGAGUGAUCGAAAGAUGAAAAGCACUUUGAAAAGAGAGUUAAAAAGCACGUGAAAUUGUUGAAAGGGAAGCGCUUGCGACCAGACUCGCUCGCGGGGUUCAGCCGGCAUUCGUGCCGGUGUAUUUCCCCGCGGGCGGGCCAGCGUCGGUUUGGGCGGUCGGUCAAAGGCCCUCGGAAGGUAACGCCCCCAGGGGCGUCUUAUAGCCGAGGGUGCAAUGCGACCUGCCUAGACCGAGGAACGCGCUUCGGCUCGGACGCUGGCAUAAUGGUCGUAAGCGAC
rnacentral:rRNA from 1 species